rnacentral:rRNA from 1 species
CUCGGGAGGCAGCAGUGGGGAAUAUUGCACAAUGGGCGCAAGCCUGAUGCAGCCAUGCCGCGUGUAUGAAGAAGGCCUUCGGGUUGUAAAGUACUUUCAGCAGUGAGGAAGGUGGAUAUGUUAAUAGCAUAUUCAUUUGACGUUAGCUGCAGAAGAAGCACCGGCUAACUCCGUGCCAGCAGCCGCGGUAAUACGGAGGGUGCGAGCGUUAAUCGGAAUUACUGGGCGUAAAGCGCAUGCAGGUGGUUUGUUAAGUCAGAUGUGAAAGCCCGGGGCUCAACCUCGGAAUUGCAUUUGAAACUGGCAAACUAGAGUACUGUAGAGGGGGUAGAAUUUCAGGUGUAGCGGUGAAAUGCGUAGAGAUCUGAAGGAAUACCGGUGGCGAAGGCGGCCCCCUGGACAGAUACUGACACUCAGAUGCGAAAGCGUGGGGAGCAAACAGGAUUAGAUACCCUGGUAG